AUUGAACGCUGGCGGCAGGCCUAACACAUGCAAGUCGAACGGAGUGGGGACGGGUGAGUAACACAUGGGUAACCUCCUAUAAGACUGGGAUAACUUCGGGAAACCGGGGCUAAACCGGAUACUGAUGAAUGGAUCCGCGCUGCAUUAGCUAGUUGGUAGGGUAACGGCGUACCAAGGCAACGAUGCAUAGCCGACCUGAGAGGGUGAUCAGCCGCACUGGAACUGAGACACGGCCCAGACUCCUACGGGAGGCAGCAGUAGGGAAUCUUGGGCAAUGGGCGAAAGCCUGACGGAGCCAUCCCGCGUGAGUGAUGAAGGUCUUCGGAUUGUAAAACUCUGUUAGUAGGGAAGCGGUACCUACACAGAAAGCAACGGCUAACUACGUGCCAGCAGCCGCGGUAAUAC
rnacentral:rRNA from 1 species